rnacentral:rRNA from 1 species
AGCAGUAGCCGCGGUAAUGCGUAGGUGGCAAGCGUUGUCCGGAAUUAUUGGGCGUAAAGGGCUCGCAGGCGGUUUCUUAAGUCUGAUGUGAAAGCCCCCGGCUCAACCGGGGAGGGUCAUUGGAAACUGGGAAACUUGAGUGCAGAAGAGGAGAGUGGAAUUCCACGUGUAGCGGUGAAAUGCGUAGAGAUGUGGAGGAACACCAGUGGCGAAGGCGACUCUCUGGUCUGUAACUGACGCUGAGGAGCGAAAGCGUGGGGAGCGAACAGGAUUAGAUACCCGCGUAGUCCCUGUCUCUUAUAC